rnacentral:rRNA from 1 species
GACAGAGGGUGCAAACGUUGUUCGGAAUUACUGGGCGUAAAGCGCGUGUAGGCGGUUAUGCAAGUCGGGGUGUGAAAGCCCCGGGCUCAACCUGGGAAUUGCAUUCGAUACUGGAUAGCUAGAGUUCGGCAGAGGGAAGUGGAAUUCCCGGUGUAGUGGUGAAAUGCGUAGAUAUCGGGAGGAACACCAGUGGCGAAGGCGACUUCCUGGCCUGUUCUUGACGCUGAGGCGCGAAAGCUAGGGUAGCAAACGGG